CAGCAUAAGCCAGUUUAUUUGGAAUAAAUUACAUUGAGAAUUAAACAUGUAGUCACAAUGUCCUGACCUCAUUUUCCCGAGGCUCUUCAAACACCAUGAUUAUGAUAUCAGACUUAGUGAAAGACAGCAAUAGUAUUGGGUUGUAAUAUUGAAUACACGGAAUGUAGCAAUGUACAAAGUAACACAAAUUACAUUGAUUUUUUUUUUUUCUUCCAAGUCUCAGCUUAAAAUUCUUGUACUGUCAAAAGCUAGUUGAUCUUUUAUGAUUUGCAAAAAGUAGGUCAUGAGCCAGAUUACAUACUUCUGUAUUAUAAUUGUUUAAAAACUAGUAAAACAAUUCCCAAGUGACAAAAAGGAAAGUUAGUAAGCAUUGGCUUAGGGACUUUACUAUUGGGAAGAAUACAACUGACUAGUUACUGUAACUGUACCGCCUUAAAUAUUAAGAUUUCCUUGCAAAACAUAACAAAAACUGCAGAGAUUGGAGGAGGGGUACAGUGGGGAUAAGGAGAAUAGAAAAACACAACAAAAUUUUACUAUUUGAAUUUGGCCAGCUGAAUAGACUGACUUUCCAUCACUUUCAUAUUUGCUUGAAUUGACCAAUUGUGUUAGAAUACCUUCAAUAUUGAAAACGUAAUGCUAUUGUCAGUAUCAAUAGGAAUCUCAGUUGUGUUUGACUCCGUCUAAAUUCCAGGAGAGGGUGGACAGUGGAUGGUUAUUUAAAUAUUAACUCAUCUAAAGAAUGGUAUACAUAGGUUUACAUUCAGGUUUCCUUUUUUCUUUGUCUUUUUGUCUAUUCUAGGGCUGCACCCGUGGCAUAUGGAGGUUCCCAGUGUAAGAAGUUUUCAGCGUGUUCAGGUCAACAUUGCAUUGUCCAGAGUCAGGAGGUCCACGUACAGUUGCAUCUUAGGUUCCUACUUUCAUGUGGUGUCAGCACUACAGGGCAGAGAACAACUCUUAAGGGAUAAAUGCCCCUUUGGCAACUUCAUUGUAAAAUACACUCCAUCUCGACAGAAUAUUUGGCUAAUAAGUAUGUCUGGUCACCUCAUAGAAUUCAGGUGAGGAAUGUCAUUUAGUCCUCUGAUCUUAAGAUGAGUUAUGGAAAUGUUACUUUUUAAAAAUCGUGAUUAGAGGACCUCAAAGAAUUAUAUGUUUUAUAAGUGGUUAUUUUUAAUUUCUGUUGAGAAAAACUAAGGGAUUGAUACGCUUUGGUCUAUACUGUAACUGGCUGUAGACAAGCACUAUCUACCUUGUCUCUCUUUCCAUUUGAUAACUACCCUGACCAAAGGGGAAAGCACCUUGUUAGAAGUAACAAUUUGGAGUUCCUGCGGUGGCUUACCAGUAACGAACCUGACAUCUUUGAGGACCCAGGUUCAGUGGAUUGAGGAUCCAGCAUUGCCUUGAGCUGUGCAGAUCAUAGAUGUGGCUGGGAUCUGGUGUAGCUGUGGCGUAGGCUGGAGACUACAGCUCCAAUUUGACCUCUAGCCUAGGCACCUCCAUGUGCUGUGGGUGCUGCCCUAAAAAGACCAGAAAAAAAAUGUGACAAUUUGGAGUUCCCGUCGUGGUGCAGUGGUUAAUCUGACUAGGAGCCGUGAGGUUGUGGGUUCGGUCCCUGCCUUGCUCAGUGGGUUAACGAUCCGGCAUUGCCGUGAGCUGUGUAGGUUGCAGACGUGGCUCGGAUCCCACGUUGCUGUGGCUCCGGUGUAGGCCAGCGGCUACAGCUCCGAUUCAGCCCCUAGCCUGGGAACCUCCAUAUGCUGCUGGAGCGGCUCAAGAAAAGGCAAAAAGAUAAAAAAAAGAAAAAAAUGACAAUUUGUUAUUGACUAUCCAGUUUUAAGAGUUUAAGGAGUUCCAUCGUGCCUCAGUGGUUAACAAAUCCAAUUAGGAAUCAUGAGGUUUCGGGUUCAAUCCCUGGACUCAGUGAGUUAUA
ensembl:lncRNA